AGGCUGUGAAGCGUGUGAUGAAGAGAGAUGGAGCUGAUGAGGAGAGGGCAAGACAAAGGAUAGCAUCACAGAUGAGUAAUGGUGAGGCUGUAGACCAUGCUCAUGUUGUUUUUUGCACACUGUGGGAGUAUGAGUUUACUCAAGAAUGAGUUGAAAAAGCAUGGACAGCACUAAAAGAUAGAAUAAUGAGAAAUAAAUUAUAAUGCCAUUAGCUUAUUUAAAUUAUCAUUAAUUUGACUCUAAUGUUGCUUGGUAUCAUCAUUAGAGGGACACUAUAUUGAUUGGAGUCAUACAGAACAUGAUUUCUUUACAAUGGACUAAAUUUAUAUUGAGAAGAGUCAUACAUAUUAUGUAUGAAUCUUCUCACUGUUUGUUCACUCUGUUUUUUCAUAAUUAUUAGAUUAAUUAAUGGCAUGUCUAUAAUAACCAAA